rnacentral:tRNA from 1 species
CAGGGAGACAACAAAAUGUAAAUAUUAAUUUUGUCACCUUAGGUCGAUCGGUAUCUCAGAUUCUUAUUAUUUAAGAAUUUCAGUUUCUAAGUUUUUUCUAGGUCACACCCAUCACUUUUUCCUGGGCCAUUAGCUCAGGUGGUUAGAGCGCACCCCUGAUAAGGGUGAGGUCCCUGGUUCAAGUCCAGGAUGGCCCAUAUCUCUAUGUUGGGGGUAUAGCUCAGUUGGUAGAGCGCCUGCUUUGCAAGCAGGAUGUCAGCGGUUCGAGUCCGCUUACCUCCACUGAAUACCACCUCUUACAUAUAGUUGAAGUGGGAAAUUGUUUUGAGUCGUGUCCUAAUUUGCUCUGAGCGAAUCUAGCUUCCUAUUUUAUCCAAGAAAUAAGAUGCUGGACUCAUUGAAUUUUUUUUCAUUGUUUUCAGAGAACCUUGACAACUGCAUAGAUUAUUUUUAAAGACAAUAAGCAUCUUUAAUGAUGCAGAUUUAUUAUUUGUGCGAAUGCAUUAAAUAACAAUUCUAUUAAGCUGAUGCUUCAAUUAUUGAAGUUAUU